rnacentral:rRNA from 1 species
UACGUAGGGUGCAAGCGUUGUCCGGAUUUAUUGGGCGUAAAGAGCUCGUAGGCGGCUUAGAAAGUCAGGUGUGAAAACUCUGGGCUCAACCCAGAGACGCCACUUGAUACUUCUAUGGCUUGAGUUCGGUAGGGGACCAUGGAAUUCCUGGUGUAGCGGUGAAAUGCGCAGAUAUCAGGAGGAACACCGAUGGCGAAGGCAGUGGUCUGGGCCGAUACUGACGCUGAGGUGCGAAAGCGUGGGGAGCAAACAGG